rnacentral:rRNA from 1 species
UACGUAGGGUGCGAGCGUUACUCGGAAUUACUGGGCGUAAAGCGUGCGCAGGCUGUUUUGUAAGUCAGAUGUGAAAUCCCCGAGCUCAACUUGGGAACUGCGUUUGAAACUACAAGACUAGAAUAUGUCAGAGGGGGGUAGAAUUCCACGUGUAGCAGUGAAAUGCGUAGAGAUGUGGAGGAACACCGAUGGCGAAGGCAGCCUUCUGGGCCAACACUGACGCUCAUGCACGAAAGCGUGGGGAGCAAACAGG